CCUACGGGCGGCUGCAGUAACGAAUCUUCCACAAUGUACGCAAGUAUGAUGGAGCGACGCCGCGUGUAGGAUGAAGUCCUUCGGGAUGUAAACUACUGUCAGGGGUAAGAAAGUUCUGAUCUACCCCAGAGGAAGAGACGGCUAACUCUGUGCCAGCAGCCGCGGUAAUACAGAGGUCUCGAGCGUUAGGCGGAAUCACUGGGCUUAAAGCGUGUGUAGGUGGAUGGGUAAGUACCUUGUGAAAUCCCACGGCUUAACCGUGGAACUGCUGGGUA
rnacentral:rRNA from 1 species